UACCGCGGUGAUACGGAGGGCCCAAAUUGAUAAAUACGGCGUAAAGGGUGGUUAGAUUUACUUAAAACUAGGGCCGAACUCUCCCCUGACUGUUGUACGUUACGGAAUGAAGAAAACCAUAAACGAAAGUAGCCCUAAUCUAUUUGAACCCACGAAAGCUAGGAAA
rnacentral:rRNA from 2 species